rnacentral:rRNA from 1 species
AUGAUUGAGCACCUUGAGGCCAAAGUGAGUGCUGACAGCGCGAGAUCUCACCCUCUCAUCGAUUUGUUCAUACCAACCAUCGACAACGAGCACGACAUAUGCUACACCCAUCCCGAGAAACUUCCAGCGCAACUCCAGGGCGUUCAAAAGGGGCACAUGGACGCGUCGCAAGAUACAGUCGGAGUGCGGCAUGCACGCGAUGUGGCACAAGACCGGCAAUACCUUGUCGGUGAUGGUCAAUGGCCGGCAGACGGGCAGCAAAAAGGUUCUGGUGCUGCACACCAACAAGAACUUCGACCAGUAGAGGACCAACUAGGUGAUGAACCAGUACCACCUCAGGGACUUGGAGCAAGAGAAGGAGCGGGAGCUGGUCCUCUACAAGAUUUUCUACCAGACGAACACUAG